rnacentral:misc_RNA from 1 species
UUAAUUCAUUUGUGUUUGUAUCAGACAGUUUCUCGGUCAGGUUGGGUUUGAAGGUCCUGUGGCAGGCGCGCACCAGCUGGACGCCGGCGGCCCCGGGGGGUCGGCCUGCCAAGGCAACAGAGGUAUAACAAGCACGGGUGGGAGUUCUGCCCGGAGGCAUGAGCUCGGUAAUGAUCCUUCCGCAGGUUCACCUACGGAAA